UACGGGGAGAUUCCUUCAGAAAUCAACGGCCGAAGUAAUACAAUUUACGGUGAUGAGUCGAUUGACGUUGGAAACAAGUGGAAACAUCUCGCCCGACGGAAGACCAAGUCUCCUGUUUUGGUAAAUGUUAGAUUCCCAGACUCAAUGUGAACUGAGUGACGUCUGAGGAUGGAUAUUUUUUGCAGUGUUGCCAUCCACGACUGAAGGGGCUGGGGGGCUCUGACAGGCACAAUUUACAUUGAGCUCGCCCCGCGCUGCUAUUUACUUUGAAACCUGAUUAGUAUGGGCCGUCUAUUGUCACCAAAAAGAGGAAGAAACCCUGAAUAGAAUAGCAGAAAAAGCAGGGUAAAGGCAAGGGGGACAAAGCUUUUACGCACGACAAAUAAACCAAAAACAUGCGCAGCGGCGAAAGGGGCACUCUGUCACAGAAAUUCCCCAAAGUUUCAAAAUGGUUUGUCUGGGACCGGUAUCUUUAUUAUAAAAUUAAGGGAUGCCAUUAUUGGUUAGCAGUGUAUUUAUGUUUUCGCACGUUGUUUUGUCUUUGGCGUGCGCAUUGCGGUACAUCCUCGUCUGUAAUCAGCACUGUCUCACUGAUUAAAACUUACAAUUUAGUUCAAACGAGCUUAUGAAGGGAAAAAAAUGUCAAUAAGAAGAAUGGUGCAUAAAAAUCAGUGUGUUAUACAAACCGGAUGCCGUGCCUGCGGCCGAAAAUCUCUAAAAUUAGACGGAGCAAUACGCAAUAUUCAAAAAUUACUGAGGUCAUAUAGUCUCCACAAUCACUGAGCUGGUGUCACAUUAUGUCUUAAUAAUGACAGUAAUUCAAAAUCAUGUGAAGUUGCUGAUAAUUUGCAUGGGGAUUCCGGCUUUUUUGUAUCAGGGUUUCUGCAGGCUCACUACCUCUCCAACUCAAAAAUGUCUGGAUCGCGCUGCCAUCUAGCGUACAUUGUACAAUUACAACAUAAUAUUAAUGCAUGCACAAGUCAUCAGACAUGAAUUUUUUAAAAUGUAAAAGGUGAUUUCAGAAAUAAAAAAAGCCCCAAUUUUUGGUAUUGUUUUCGCUCGUCUUUUUUUUGACUUUCUGAAAAGUACAGUCUUUUGAAGUUAAGAUUGCAAAACGGAGAAAACUUUCAAAGAUCAAUUAUACAUAUAGAUUAUAUUACAACAAAAUAAAAUAUAGUCCCAAAAGUACAAUAGCAUGGUGAUUGCAUGUGAUUUAGAUAUAGAUUUAGAACAUAUAUCCAAAAUGAUGUGCGUAAAUCAUCUCGAAAAACAUAGUAAUACACCCUAUAGGAAAAGAAUAACGUUUAUAAUAUAUCAAUACAAUUAUUGAAUAAAAAUAAACAAAGUUAUUGUAUACAGAUCUUAAACUACAGAGCGAUAUAGCAGAUAUAAUGGAGCGUAAAUAUGCAAGUGCCCCCUUUGGAAACGCAUAGGAGGGAUGGGUUGUUUUUUAAGUAUUCAACAAGAGAGCUCUCUCUCCCGUCCCUGUGUCGGACACUCCACUGAAACUCCCCGGCCAUAUCUCCAGCUCUUUGAAAAGAUUGGAAAGAGGCUCCGCGGGAGAAGAGGAGAGUGAGAGGGACAGCGAAUGGGAGCAGGGUAGGGGCUCUAAUAGAAAGCUGGGAAACGGCAAGAGAAAAAGGAGAAAGUGGACAGCAGGACAUUAAAAGAAGAAGCACCGGCGGCGGCGGUUACUAGCAGAGGAGCGGCUUUCUACCUGGAUAAAACCAGCCAUCAAUAAGGCAAGUACAAUAUUUAUUUCUCACUUCUACGCUACACACGCGUGGCUGUAAAUGCAAGCCUAAAUUCUCUGUGGCACGCCACAUGACCGUUAACUUUAAACCAUGUAGCCGACCCGGACGGUGUAAGAGUCACAACUUUUUAACUAGGGGAGAGUCGCGUCUUUUCUCCACAUUAUUACCGAUCACCGACAGUCGUUUGCCCGUUUUUGAGCUGUCCUCACUGAUUUGUACAUCAGAUAGUAAUGUUAUUACAGGCUGGUUGUAGUGCCGCUGGACGUGGGAGCUUUUUUUCGUACGUCCCGUGCACCUCACCUGCUAGGCUAUUUGUUGUUUGAACACAUAAUGAAAAGAUCGAUAGGAGGCUGUUUGUCUCAGCGAUAGUGUCACCGAAUAAAAGGCUGAUCAAGGAGGCAAGCCGUUGCCCAUCUUUUACACUGCUUUCCAAGUGCCAGUUUAGCCACUAUACUGUCAGAUGCAAAUGUUAUAGAUUGGCAGAAAAUCUCCUGCACCAGAAAGAACGCAUUGUGUGUCAGCACAGGCUGCAGUGAGGAAAUGUAAGAUGACAAACACUGUGAUUUAUCAAAGCAGCAUUAUUGAUGCAAAGGGAUUGUAAUGGAAACUGAUAUAAAAUGAAUGAUGUAGCAAUGUAGGCCAGGUUAACUUAUUCCAGGACAAACUGCACGUCAAUCAGCUUUGUAAAAUAGCCUUAUAUAAUAACAUUUAACCUAAUCCUCCUGCUGAAGGUUCAUGCUAAUUAAUUUUACGUGAGCCAAGUAACAUUUAUCUCUCAUGUCCAAUUUAUUAAGUAUACUACCUUUCCUUAUGUGAACAAAAUAUGCAAGGCUUCAUAAUAUGUUAACUUAUUGAAAACCUGUAAACAAUCACAUUAGGCUAUCACUAGAUUAUUAAACACGUCUUUCAGGAAAUGAUGCAACUGCGCAUUUGCAUCCACCUUACAUAUAAUACUUUGCUUUGCAGCAGAUACUUAGUGAUGUUGGAAUAUUUAAUUUUAAUCUGACUUUUUCCAUUUUCAUCUAAAUUGAAUAAUCACAAAUAGAUUGUGUAGGGCUGUUUAAAUGUCCAUUGUAUGGUAGUUUUGUCAAAUGACUUUAUUUGUUCAACAUUUAUAUAAAUCACAUAACAUUUUUAGCCAAAUCUAUAAUGAUUAAUAACUUACACAUAUAUAUUAGGACGUUGUUAUGCUCGCGAAAUGCAGUUCAAUACAGCUGAAACCAACAAGCAGCGCAAUCAGUUGGGAAAACAGUGAGGUCACAAGUGCAAGGCCCCCAAUAAAACAACAGAUGACUACAAGGACGCGUUUUAGAGCAUUUAAAAAGAUGCAAACAGAUGUAGCUUAGAGAUUUAUAAAUGAUCGAGGGUCUGUUUAUUAUUUAUUGCAUGUAAUCACAUCAGGGUUAUAACCAUAGCAUAUAGCAAAAAUGCAUUGUAGGAGGCUGAUCGCCUCUCCUGUGUACACGGGAGUGUUGUGUUUCUGGACCCCGUGCUAGAGGCCCACAUACAGCUGAUGCUGAUCCCUGCGACUUCAACUGUCUGCCUGCAAAAUUACAAGCAUUCAAAACAACCAAAACGAAUCAGGUGAUGGACACCUUUAGGCGUGGAGCUAUGAGCAUCGUUGAACACCUCCAUGGUGGGUCCUGGCUGUUUGUUUGAAUAACCAACACCGAUUAAUAGUCAAGUCCAGCCUGUGUGGAAAUAAGACACAGCUGCAAACCUUCUAAAUAACUUUACACUUGUUGGACUGUGCUUCUGUGUAGUAUGGAGUAGUUUGUCACUAACGUUGGUUUCAUUAAUAAUUAAGUCACAUAAGAUUUAGUAAGUAAACACUAAAGCGCUGCAGACAAUGGCAUUACACAUUUUCACCUGUUAUUUAUUGUAGAUGCUCAUUUGUAGAUUGUUUUUCACCGUUAUAUACAUUUCCCGAGCACGUGAGCACACUAAUGUAAGGGGAAUGUGUUUUAUAUUUGGAAAUAAAACUGAAACAAGACAUAGAUGCAUACUAUCUUACACCAUAGCCUACAUGUCACAUUGAGAAUAGCUUAAGACGACACGUUAAGUCCCAUGACUAUCUUUCAACGAUAUGUUUUGAGCAGAAUUUGUUUUUGAAAAAGGGUUCACGGAUUAUUUGCUUUCGAUGUGUGGAAGCAGUAACCCUGCAUUGGCAUAAUGAUUUAUGCUGUUUUAGAUGGGCAACAAGGGCGAAUGACAUUUAAAGUUCUCGACCUGUUUGAAACAACUGUGAUUUUGACAUGGUUUUAUAAGUGAGAACUUAGCUGCUACAAUAAAGUUAGUGUAACUUUUCUCCUCUUCAGGCUGUACU